rnacentral:rRNA from 1 species
UUGACCUCAAAUCGGGUGAGACUACACGCUGAACUUAAGCAUAUCAAUAAGCGGAGGAAAAGAAACUAACAAGGAUUCCCCUAGUAACUGCGAGU